CCGAAAGGAGCGCUAAUACCGCAUAAGACCACGGAGUCUCCGGACGCUGUGGGAAAAGGUGGCCUCUUCUUGAAAGCUACCACCGAAGGAUGAGCCUGCGUCCCAUCAGCUAGUUGGUAAGGUAAUGGCUUACCAAGGCGAAGACGGGUAGCUGGUUUGAGAGAAUGAUCAGCCACACUGGCACUGGAACACGGGCCAGACUCCUACGGGAGGCAGCAGUGAGGAAUAUUGGGCAAUGGGCGAAAGCCUGACCCAGCCACGCCGCGUGAGUGAUGAAGGCCCUCGGGUCGUAAAGCUCUGUGGAGAGGGACGAAAACCCUGGUUUCAAAUAGGCUCCAGGCUUGACGGUACCUCUUUAGCAAGCACCGGCCAACUCUGUG
rnacentral:rRNA from 1 species